UACGUAGGGAGCAAGCGUUGUUCGGAUUUACUGGGCGUAAAGGGCGCGUAGGCGGCGCGGUAAGUCACUUGUGAAAUCUCUGAGCUUAACUCAGAACGGCCAAGUGAUACUGCAGUGCUAGAGUGCAGAAAGGGCAAUCGGAAUUCUUGGUGUAGCGGUGAAAUGCGUAGAUAUCAAGAGGAACACCUGAGGCGAAGGCGGGUUGCUAGGCUGACACUGACGCUGAGUGUGCGAAAGCCAGGGGAGCAAACGGG
rnacentral:rRNA from 1 species